AUGCAAGUCGGGAUAACAAGUUUGUACGUUGUUUUACUUUAGCAAUUAAGGCUGUAAUUUGUAUCCGACUAAGUUGUUUUGAAGCUUUAUCGUCCUUCAAAUAAAAUACGUGUUCGUUUUGUGUUCACUUCGCGAACGUAUACGGAUUGAUGAAAUUACGUCCACAACACAAUUUGUUUAGUUAAAUUUAUACCCUUAUUUUUAUUCUACACCAAAUAGCUAUAAAUACUAACCAACCACUCACAAUAUACUCUCACUUUAUCUCAACGCAAUUGUCAAUCUCACUUGACACUACAAGAAAAGAAUACCUUUAGCGGCAACGGCAAUAGCGGCGACAGGCCAAACGGCAAUAGCGGCGACAGGCCAAACGUCAUCGCUAUUGGUUGAUCCGCGUCCCACCACCUAACAUCAAUCCCCAGUCGUUGAUCCUUACCCUGAUCCAACGGUUGGGGACUUAAGAACCAAUAGCGGCGACAUGAAUUAGGGUAUUAGCGGCGACACUUUAUCUCCGCUAAAGAACUGUGGACCCUCAUCAAACCCCAGCCACUGAUAUCUUAUCCAGAUUCUUGUAUACCGGCGACGCUGACCUUUAGUGACGACAGGAGGCCAAUAGCGGCCGAUCAAUACUGGCGACAUGUCGCCGCUAAAGGUCAAUACCGGCGACACUUUCCACCAAUACCGGCGACAGUUGUCGCCGCUAAAGGUGGUCCAUUCUUGUAGUGUGACCACAAUGGAGGAAGAUUGGAAAAUAGAAUAAGAAAUAACUCUUUUUAAAGCUUUGGUUGGGUGCUCAAGAGGGCCGGCCAAAGGUCAUCUAAGUGAAGCUAGGGCUUUAGGCCACAGAAGUUUUUGGGCCUCCGUUUUGAAGAAAAAAAAACAAUAUAUAUUAAUCUAAUGUGGAUAUUAAUAUAAAUAAUCUAUUUGUAUAAGCAAACAUUUAUUGUAGUUUAGUGGUUUGAAGACCCCUCCUUUAUUAUGUAGCCCAUUUUAUAUCUUUUAUGUCCCAAGUUCGAUUCUAAGCAAUAGCAAUUUUAUAUCUUUUUUGUCUUUUUAUUGAACACCCUUGAACAGGGUAACUAUGCGGGGUUUUUUUUGUCUGCCAAUUUCCAUUUCUUUUCUCUUUUCUUUUUUCAUAAUCUGAUUU
rnacentral:lncRNA from 1 species